rnacentral:rRNA from 1 species
ACGGAAGGCAGCAGUGAGGAAUAUUGGUCAAUGGGCGGAAGCCUGAACCAGCCAAGUCGCGUGAAGGAUGAAGGUAUUAUGUAUUGUAAACUUCUUUAGUCGCAGAGAAAUAAGGAGGUCGAGACCUCUGAUGCUAGUAUGCGAAGAAUAAGGAUCGGCUAACUCCGUGCCAGCAGCCGCGGUAAUACGGAGGAUCCGAGCGUUAUCCGGAUUUAUUGGGUUUAACGGGUGCGCAGGCGGUCUUUUAAGUCAGUGGUAAAAUCGUGGGGCUCAACCCCAUCCCGCCAUUGAUACUGGAGGACUUGAGUGCGGUAGAGGUUGGCGGAAUUCGUCGUGUAGCGGCGAAAUGCAUAGAUAUGACGAAGAACACCGAUUGCGUAGGCAGCUGACCAGGCCGUAAACGACGCUCAUGCACGAAAGUGCGGGGAUCGAACAGGAUUAGAUACCCUGGUA